rnacentral:rRNA from 1 species
UACGUAGGGUGCAGGCGUUACUCGGAAUUACUGGGCGUAAAGCGUGCGUAGGCGGCUCCUUAAGUCAGAUGUGAAAUCCCCGGGCUUAACCUGGGAACUGCGUUUGAAACUGGGGAGCUGGAGUGUAGAAGAGGGGCGUGGAAUUCCAGGUGUAGCAGUGAAAUGCGUAGAGAUCUGGAGGAACACCGAUGGCGAAGGCAGCCCUCUGGGCUGACACUGACGCUCAUGCACGAAAGCGUGGGGAGCAAACAGG